GCAGAUCUUGUACUUGAACAGUCUUCUUUCUGCAUUGUUUAAGGUUUAACAAACAAAAGAAGACUGAAACUUCAAUGGGCUUGGCAGGAUAAAACGACUAUGGUAUGAUGUUAGGAAUCCUGUUCAAACAUAGAUUUGGGACAUCAGCGAAAAACCACAGUAACUUUGGACCAAUGUUCUUUUUCAUUUUUUUUUUCUGGUGGGUUGAGGGAGAAGGAUAACAUGCUCUUGUUUUUAAGUAAACAAAAUUAAUCAUACCAGGGCUGACUUAUGUUAUUUUCUUUUUAACAAUAUGAUUUCUAACAUCAAAAAAGCUAUCCUAGUUUCGUAGGAAGUUUCUGAUUCUAAGCAUGUUCUGGUUGCAUCCUUGUGUAGUAACAUGUUACAAACUGUCAGAAACUUUUAUCUCCUUUCUGCUUCUGUUUCCCCUUUCACUCUCUGUGUAUCCCACCAGUCCAUCCACUGGAACACGAAUUGAUAUUUCUUGUCAAUGGCAGCUCCCAAAAAGAAAACAGGACAGCAUCACCAACCAGAAGGCAGAGAACUGAAGAUAAGAUGAAAGCCCCUUAGAAUUCAUGUCAAAGGGACAUGUUGUUCAGUGUAUAGUCAUCAUAUUAGCUAUUAGUGCUA
rnacentral:lncRNA from 1 species